GACGAACCGAGCGAACGUUAUUCGGAAUCACUGGGCUUAAAGGGUGCGUAGGCGGGCACGCGAGUCAGGGGUGAAAUCCCACGGCCCAACCGUGGAAGUGCCUCUGAUACCGCGGGCCUCGAGGGGGAUAGGGGCGUGCGGAACUUCCGGUGGAGCGGUGAAAUGCGUAGAUAUCGUCUGGAACGCCAAAGGUGAAAACAGCUCGCUGGGGUUGUGCUGACGCUGAGACACGAAAGCCAGGGGAGCGAACGGG
rnacentral:rRNA from 1 species